rnacentral:rRNA from 1 species
CCUACGGGUGGCAGCAGUGGGGAAUAUUGCACAAUGGGCGCAAGCCUGAUGCAGCCAUGCCGCGUGUGUGAAGAGGGCCUUCGGGUUGUAAAGCACUUUCAGCGGGGAGGAAGGCGGUGAGGUUAAUAACCUCAUCGAUUGACGUUACCCGCAGGAGAAGCACCGGCUAACUCCGUGCCAGCAGCCGCGGUAAUACGGAGGGUGCAAGCGUUAAUCGGAAUUACUGGGCGUAAAGCGCACGCAGGCGGUCUGUCAAGUCGGAUGUGAAAUCCCCGGGCUCAACCUGGGAACUGCAUUCGAAACUGGCAGGCUAGAGUCUUGUAGAGGGGGGUAGAAUUCCAGGUGUAGCGGUGAAAUGCGUAGAGAUCUGGAGGAAUACCGGUGGCGAAGGCGGCCCCCUGGACAAAGACUGACGCUCAGGUGCGAAAGCGUGGGGAGCAAACAGGAUUAGAUACCCGGGUAGUC